UACGUAGGGGGCUAGCGUUGUCCGGAAUCAUUGGGCGUAAAGAGCGCGUAGGCGGCCAGAUAAGUCCGGUGUGAAAGUCAAAGGCUCAACCUUUGAAUGCCGCUGGAAACUGUCUGGCUAGAGUCCGGGAGGGGCGAGUGGAAUUCCUGGUGUAGCGGUGAAAUGCGCAGAUAUCAGGAGGAACACCAAUGGCGAAGGCAGCUCGCUGGAACGGUACUGACGUUGAGGCGCGAAAGCGUGGGGAGCAAACAGG
rnacentral:rRNA from 1 species